UUUUUCUUUUUUUUCUUUUUUUUUUUUUUUUCGGAGCUGGGGACCGAACCCAGGGCCUUGCGCUUCCUAGGCAAGCGCUCUACCACUGAGCUAAAUCCCCAACCCCCGUGUGUGUGUUUUAUACAGGGUUUCUUUAUUAGCCCUGGCUGUCCUGGGUCUCACUCUGUACACCAGGCUGGCCUCAAACUCGGAGAUCCACCUGCCUCUGCCUCCUGUGCACUGGGAUUAAAGAUGAACGCCAUCAACUGCUCAGUUUAGCCAUUGGUAUUUUGAAAGAGGGUCUUCCUAUAUAUCCUAGACUGGCCUCAAACUUGCUUUGCAGCUUGCAUAGGCUAACCUCUCUGUCUUCUCAUUUAUUUAUCUGUUUUUAUGUACGUGUGUUUUCCUGGAUGAAUUUAUUGGCCCCAGGUGAGUACAGUAGCCUGUAGAGGCCAGAAGUGGUAGUCAGAUACCCUGGAGAUGUAGUUACAGGCGUUUGUGAACAGCCUGAUGUGGGUGCUGGAACUGAACCCAGCUCUUACAGUAAGUGCUCUUACCACUGAGCCAUCUCACCAGCCCCAUAGCCUCAAAUCUAAUCUCCCUACUGCAUGCACCUUCACACUCAGCCUCAAGCACAGACGGGCAUCUUGCAGAAGGCUUAGCAAAUGAGUGUUCACCACGGUGGCUGAAUGACUGGUGACUGAAAGCAUAACUGAGAGCCUGCAUCACCUCAUGCGGUGGUGACAGGCCUGAGAGACAGGUGCUUAGUUAUAGGUAACUGUUACAAUCCUGUCAGGGUUCUAGGGAGAGCAGCUAAUAACGGAUGGAGUGCAUUACAGUGGUGAGCCAAGAGGUGCAAGCGAGCAAGCAGCAACUAGCCAGCCCUGGUCACACACACAGGCAGUGCAGACCAAGUCACCAGUUGGUCUCCACCGGCUUGGGAGGUCCAGAAACCGAAACACUUUCUGUUAGUGACCCACCCAUGCCCAGCCCUACUGUCCAAGUACCCAAAGUCCGAGAUCCCCGCUUUUCAUUUCAGGCAGUCUUUUGCAAACUGUAAAGAGCCUUCCUGCUUUGCUUUGUCCAGCAAGCCGCCUUCGAAUGAAACGCCCACAGUCCGGGCCAGAGGAAUGACCUCCUGGGGCUGGGCCCUGAUAUCUUUGGGCUCCAACCAUGCUCCCCUCGCUCCCCUCCCAUGUCCCUCCGUCCAUUUCCCCUCCACAUCUACUCCUAUCUAUUGUGAAAGACGGGCUGGCACACCUUCUAGGACAGGUCUGAUCAAGGCUAGGGGACUUUCCCAGUGCAGGUAGCUGUGGGCGAGAUUGGGGGCAGGGGACAGGAGGAAAGGGGCUGGAGGAAUGCUGAAUUCCCUCACGUCCGUCCAGGCGUCCCCUUGCAGCCCCUACAUUGUCCUCGGCGUGAGAAGCGGAGACGCUUAGGCAACAGUCCCAAGGGCGCUCCAUUUUCUGCGAUACCCCCAUCAGCCUAUUCUUCGCUGCUAUCUGAAUGUGGAGCACACCAGGCUAGUCCGUCCCGGGUCUCCCUUCCGGGGAUCUUCUCUUUGUCU
rnacentral:lncRNA from 1 species